rnacentral:rRNA from 1 species
AUUGAACGCUGGCGGCAGGCUUAACACAUGCAAGUCGAGCGAGGCGCGCACGUGAGAGUAAUGUCUGGGAAUUUGCCAGAUGGAGGGGGAUCAACACUGGAAACUGUAUCUAACCCCGUAUACCAUGAUAUGCGCCCAGAUGGGAUUAGCUAGUAGGUGGGGUAAUGGCUCACCUAGGCGACGCUCCCUAGCUGGUCUGAGAGGAUGACCAGCCACACUGGAACUGAGACACGGUCCAGACUCCUACGGGAGGCAGCAGUGGGGAAUAUUGCACAAUGGGCGCAAGCCUGAUGCAGCCAUGCCGCGUGUGUGAAGAAGGCCUUCGGGUUGUAAAGCACUUUCAGCGAGGAGGCGUUACUCGCAGAAGAAGCACCGGCUAACUCCGUGCCAGCAGCCGCGGUAAUAC